GUUCCUUUUGGCUGGUCCAUGGAGUGGGAUCCGUCCCUGGCUGGCAGUGACCCUCCUGAGUGACACCAAGCUUUAGGCUGAGUACAGUGUCAACCUUCGCGACGUGCGUAGUCGCAUGUUUAUUUUCCUUCCACUGUGAACUUGGACAAGCUAUGUAGCUUGUCGUGUUAAACACUGUUUGUAUAAAUUUACAUUAAACUUGAACAGG
rnacentral:lncRNA from 1 species